GUUUUCUCCUUUCUCUCUGAGGUAAAUCCAAGAUGGCGGCCGGUAACUACUAUGAGUUGGAAGCCGCGGCCAUCGUUGGGCCCUAUCGCGGGUUUUUAGAAGUGGGGCGGGGGGGAAAGGCCGCUGUGGAGGGAGCGGGUGUGAGGUGGCCCUCCCCGCGUGCGCCGGUGGGCCCUCUCGGCCGCCUUGUACAACAACAGCCUUGCCAGGAAACAAUUAUGUCCAGGAAAAGAAAAAUUGACUCACAGGAUCUUCAAAGAACAGUGGAUUUACGAUUACUUUUUCAUGCAGUAUAAGGAAAGAGCUGUUUGUCUGAUAUGCCCGGAUUUAAUGGCUGUGUCGAGGGAAUACAAUUUACGUUGACACUGCAAGAUUCAACAUAAAGACAAAUAUGAUUGUUUGGUCAGAUAAGCAAGAAAAGACAAACUUUUAAAACUGAAAAAUGGAUUGACAACUCAGCAAAAUGCUUUUGUGAAGCAAAUGAUGCAAAGGGAGUUUCAAAUGAGAUUUAAGGAGCUUCGUGCACAUGAACAGGACAGACAGCUUUUCCGGAACCCAUUUUCUGUUGACAUUGAAAUUGUUGAUCCAAUUUACCAAAUGGAACUGGCCAAACUACAGAAUGGUGACUCUGAAAGACGCAUUCAAGCCAAGCAGCCUUACUAAUUUCUAUGCAUCUCUCCCCUCUGAGACAUACCUUCAUCUCAGGAACCAGGCACUCAGAAUGGUAACCAUCUUUGACAACACCUAUGUCUGUGAACAGACUUUUUCCCGAAUGAAACACCUGAAAUCCCCAACUGAGGAACACUUGCAUCACUUGUUACGACUGGCAGUCACAAAUAUGGAAUCGGACAUCGACUGUCUCAUCCGCCAAAAGCAGGCCCACGCUUCCCACUGAAAUACUAGCCUUAAAGCAACAGGACAUGAAAUUGAUUUUGAAGGAACCAAAUUAAUCUCCAAAACUGAACACUACCACAAGAGACUAAUUAUGGAAGCCAUCGAAAUAGAGAAACACCCCCACAGCAUGAAUAAACGUGACAAUACCUCCCGCCUACCAGACAUCUGGAAACUAGCCCUAGUCAACAAACGAGUCCCAGUCAGGAAAAUUGACACCGGACCCAGGAUAACACAUGAUGCUACCACCAAUCAUCCUCACCAGAUUCAAACCCAAACCCAUCCCAUAGACGAAAUACAACCACCAUCCAGAAGCCAGCUCACAGCGGCAUCACCAGCUGCUGCACCCCCCUCCGAUCCCCACGCAAAGCAAGCUGACACACACCAUGAACACAUGACAGGACCUCAAACUCGGAGCCAGACCAGGGCCCAGGAUGCUGCAUCACAGCCAUCUGCUCAGAAUGUUGCAGCCCAGUACUCAGGAUGUCACAGCACUAGAGCUCAGGAUGUUGCAGCACAGCCCAUUACCCAGGUCAUUAAGACUAAUGGGCACACAGGACCACACCUGCACAGGAUGCUAUGAAAAAGCUGACCAAUCUGCAAAGAUCAUCAACCCAUCAAGAUGUAACAACACAGCCAACCAAUCCACUUACAGCAACAAAGCCAGCAUUCCACAUCUCCCCACCAGUAUUUAUAGAGAGAUGGUAGCUCCAGCCACGCUUUGCUCGCACAAGCACGAAGCCGAAAGCACCAGCCUGAAGAUGACAAGUAGGACCUCGUCGAAAUAUCGCCUAGAUACUUUCAACCUUACACGGGAAAAGACCCGAAUAUGCCAAGACCUACAUACCUAUACCUGUGAAAACCUACAAAAACACACACACACACACACACAUAUAUAUAUAUAUAUAUAUAUAUAUGUAGGUCUUUGGUUAUUCGGGUUUUCUCCCGCGUAAAAU